GGGUAGGAAGAGGUCAGGAACCAAGAAGGAAGUGGACGGACCGUGGAGCCCCCGGCCCCCGGCCCUGGAGUUCCCUGGACGUCUCCACACCCCAAAGAGGAGAAAUGAGAGGCUGCUGCCCACGCGAUGGCAAUUUCUCUUCUGCAUUUUCUUGUCAACCGUGGGGGCUAAACGACAUCUGGAGAGACUUCUGCUGAGCCAGACGACGGGACCAGAAGGUGCUCGGUCCAGUGGAGAUGUUGAAAGGGGUGGACCUGCCUUGGCCACUGGGCCCUGUCUGUGCCGGUUUUGAUCUGCAGAGCCUGCCCCGGGGACAAAGCACGGGAGCUGGGCUGCCCCUCGUCUCAGGAAGCCCUCCCUUCCCUGCCUCCCUGAACCCCUUUCUUCUCCUUCCCGCUGUCCUAUCUCUGUAAGAAAUGCAGACAAGAGAAAAUGCCUAUCUGUGUCUCCAGGUGACAGCCAGAGUGAAUGCACAAGCAUUUGUCACCAAGUGUGUCCACAGACGGCCGUAGACUCCACCAUCGGAAGGGUAGACUCCAUGCUGGAGGCCACCCCACCUUCCAAUCCAAACGCAGCCUUGGGGCAGGGUCCCCGAGCCUCCAGUUUGUGAUGCAAAGCUUUGGUUGUUUUUCUUUUUUUUUUUUUUUUUAAAGACUCAAGCCCUACGGAAGCAUUUCCGUUCAAGACGAAAUUGUUUAAUUGGACAGAGGAAAGAGUCUCGGGGGAUUCAGAGGGAAGGAGGCUGAACUCUGUGCAUUUUCUUUAUCCGCUCUUAUCUUAAACCCUGUGUCAGAGAGGGUAAACAGACGCUUCUAUUUCUGUGCAUCUGAGUUGGCAACACCAACGUGUUGUGCACAUAAAGGUACAUAUUGGCUUUUUAUGAGACGCUGGGUUAAACACCCUUCAUCUUUCUGGAUGCGCUCCUGUACGCGACAGAUUCGGAAAUCCUAAAAGCAAAUCUUAGCAGAGCAAACACAUUUUCCCUGUAGAAGUGCAGUCACAGAAGAGAUUACAUUCCCCUGGGACUGGCCCCCUACAUUCAGCGGUAAUAUUAGAGCAUCAUUCUAACACACAUGUAUACAUGUAUAAUUUCCAAAUCCACUCACACCAGCUCCAUUUUGAUCGUGGGAAUGCCUUGCCAACGGCAGGGGGAGAAAUUACAAGUGGAUCUGGUCUUUGUCCCUGGUGAAGGCUGGUGCGGCUAAACAUCCAGUUUGGUGACUGACUCACAUACCUUCUCAUCGCUGCUUAGAAACGGUGACGGCAAAAGCCCAGAGACAUCCCUCACCUGUUUGAGGGGCUCCGGCUCCGAAGCAUACUUAGUGUUUACCCUUGAAAAGGUCAGGGCCUUAGAAAAAGAGGGAAAUCUAAUAACCAUGCAUAGUUUUGUUUUGUUUUGUUUUUUUCAGGUGAUCAGUCCACCGGUUCGAUAGCAACAACAGCCUGCUUCGUCCCAGAGUGGGCAUGCAGUUUCGAGCUAACUGGUCGUGGCUAGAAUAGCACUAAGAUGCAGAUUUGAGGGCACCCAGCUAGACUCUGGAAUUGGGUUUGGAUUUGACAGUAACCAACAUAUGAAAUCUGGGGCACUGACCCUUCAUUUCCUCAUUUAUAAACUGGGGAUGAUACUAGUACAACCUAAGGCACAGCCGUCUUGUGAAAAUUGAAUAAAACAUGGAGCACGAUGCCUGGGACGCACUUGGUGAAUGUUAGCUGCUGUCAUUUUUAUUCUUUUUCAUGAGAGGGAUUAUUUACUGGAUUGGGAGUGAACACCGAAAGUGGCAAUCCGAUUGGAAAAAAAUUGGACACAUUUUACCCCAGAAUAACUUGUGCAUAGUCAUGAAACAAAAUACAGUCAGAUUCGUUGGUGGGGUCUUGCGUUCCCAUCCCUGCCUGCUGGGGGUCUGGCCAAGGUCCUGGCUGGGAUCCGAGGAGUCUUCUUUCGUAUCAUGUCCUUGCCUCUUUUUCUCAGCCUCUCUGUGAGUGAGACCAGAGGGCGUCACAACAGCCCACGCCGGCCUGACACCGUCCCGACUCCAGGACCGACUCUGCGCUCUGGAACAUGCUUCUCCUCUUCUGUGGCUGAGGAAAGAUCAUGGCAGGUCUCCCUGAAAACACCCCCCAGAAAUGCCUGCCAACAUUCAGAGAUGAGGUGGCAAAAGGUGAGACCUUCCAAGACAGAAGACAAAGAGGCAGCCAUGCCUGAGCAAAUGAUUUCCCAUGGUUGCUUCCCUCCCUGGCUACACGGGCCCCUUGGCUAAGAGGUGCACAAUCCGGGCCAGAGCGAACAUACUCAGCACGGCGGGUCCAGCUGCUAGACAAGCUGAUUCUCAAGGUCACAGGAAGAAUCUUGACAGCAUCCUUCUGCGCCCUAGACCACACAGGGCUAAGAGCUGAUGCGCUGCUCUCACCUGCCCGGGUGGAUUCCAGAAUCCCCUCAUGCGUCCGCAGCAACAGGAGGGGAGAAACCAGGGGACUCUGCCCAAGAGCUCGAUGAGACGAGUACAUCCGAUGACAGACGCUUACAUGGUGGCUCCCGGGAAGGUCAUUGCCACUGCACGUCUAGCAAAAGCUAGAGCGUAGUUCCCUGUGCUGUGCAGUAGGUCCGUGUUGAUUAUCUCUUUUCCAUGUCGUCACGUGUAUAUACGUGAAUCUCAAACUCCUAAUUUACACCCCCUCGUCCCCUCUUUGGUAACCAUAUGUUUGUUUUCUAAGCCGAUGAGUUUCUGUUUCGUAAAAAAAAAAAAAAA
rnacentral:lncRNA from 1 species